rnacentral:sRNA from 1 species
GGUCAGUCUAGGUCCCCUACCCAUCUCUAUGUGUGUUGUGAGGUGCUCUGCCCUACCCCACGCUGAGGGAGUGACCUUAGUUAUCCAGAGACUAGGGAAAGAAUGCCAGGAAGCGGGACAACACCUACCUACUACCUGGACUGCAAAAAGAGGGUGCUCAUGCUAUUUUAAAUGAAAGAAAUCUCUAGGACAGAGGCAUGAAAAUGGGCAUUUGCAGAGAGAAGAAGCUGGAUCACAUGCCAGGAAUGCUUCAGUAACUGCAUCCCAGAUAUUACCAAAUUAGCCAAAGCUCAUGCAGAGCCAUCUCCCCACUACUGCUGGGGUGCCUAACAGGGAGAGGUUCUGGAGAGCCUGGAGCUCCCUCACCAAGAAGAAAGCAUGAGGAGGGGAGGGGCUGGGGCAGGGGAGGGACCAGGAAACCCCUCCUCUCCAGAGUCUGCCCCUGGGAGAAGAGGGCAGAGUGCCACCCAGACACCUCGCUUACCCACUCAUGCUUGAGGGUGUCGAGUUGUCUCUUGCAGUGCAGACAAGCUGCUCCAAAGUGUCCACACUCUCAGCCAAGCUGAGGGCAGGGAGAGUGGGU